UGUAGUCAUAUGCUUGUCUCAAAGAUUAAGCCAUGCAUGUCUAAGUAUAAGCAAUCUAUACUGUGAAACUGCGAAUGGCUCAUUAAAUCAGUUAUCGUUUAUUUGAUAGUACCUUACUACUUGGAUAACCGUGGUAAUUCUAGAGCUAAUACAUGCUAAAAACCCCGACUUUUGGAGGGGUGUAUUUAUUAGAUAAAAAACCAAUGCCCUUCGGGGCUCCUUGGUGAUUCAUAAUAACUUAACGAAUCGCAUGGCCUUGUGCCGGCGAUGGUUCAUUCAAAUUUCUGCCCUAUCAACUUUCGAUGGUUAGGUCUUGGCUAACCAUGGUUUCAACGGGUAACGGGGAAUUAGGGUUCUAUUCCGGAGAGUGAGCCUGAGAAACGGCUAACACAUCCAAGGAAGGCAGCAGGCGCGCAAAUUACCCAAUCCCGACACGGGGAGGUAGUGACAAUAAAUACUGAUCCAGGGCUCUUUUGGGUCUUGGAAUUGGAAUGAGUACAAUUUAAAUCCCUUAACGAGGUACAAUUGGAGGGCAAGUCUGGUAAUCG
rnacentral:rRNA from 1 species